rnacentral:rRNA from 1 species
GCAGCACGGGGAGCUUGCUCUCUGGUGGCGAGUGGCGAACGGGUGAGUAAUAUAUCGGAACGUGUCCAAUAAUGGGGGAUAACGAGUCGAAAGAUUCGCUAAUACCGCAUACGCCCUACGGGGGAAAGCAGGGGAUCGUAAGACCUUGCGUUAAUGGAGCGGCCGAUAUCUGAUUAGCUUGUUGGUGAGGUAAAGGCUCACCAAGGCGACGAUCAGUAGCUGGUUUGAGAGAACGACCAGCCACACUGGAACUGAGACACGGCCCAGACUCCUACGGGAGGCAGCAGUGGGGAAUUUUGGACAAUGGGGGCAACCCUGAUCCAGCCAUUCCGCGUGAGUGAAGAAGGCCUUCGGGUUGUAAAGCUCUUUCGCAAGGGAAGAGAACUUAUGAUCGAAUAAAUCAUGAGGUUGACGGUACCUUGAUAAGAAGCACCGGCUAACUACGUGCCAGCAGCCGCGGUAAUACGUAGGGUGCGAGCGUUAAUCGGAAUUACUGGGCGUAAAGCGUGCGCAGGCGGUUUUGUAAGUCGGAUGUGAAAUCCCCGGGCUCAACCUGGGAACUGCGUUCGAAACUGCAAGGCUAGAGUGUGUCAGAGGGGGGUAGAAUUCCACGUGUAGCAGUGAAAUGCGUAGAGAUGUGGAGGAAUACCAAUGGCGAAGGCAGCCCCCUGGGAUAACACUGACGCUCAUGCACGAAAGCGUGGGGAGCAAACAGGAUUAGAUACCCUGGUAGUCCACGCCCUAAACGAUGUCAACUAGUUGUUGGUAGAGUAAAAUCUAUGAGUAACGUAGCUAACGCGUGAAGUUGACCGCCUGGGGAGUACGGUCGCAAGAUUAAAACUCANGGAAUUGACGGGGGCCCGCACAAGCGGUGG